GUCUAUGGCCACACCACCCUGAACGUGCCCAAUCUCAUCUGAUCUCGGAAGCUAAGCAGGGUCGGGCCUGAUUAGUACUUGGAUGAGAGACUUUCAGUUAAGAGGGUAUUACAAACA
rnacentral:rRNA from 1 species